GUAGUCGGAAGGAAAAAAAAGAAUAGCUUCUCCUCAUGGCACGUACCAAUAUCUCAAGUGUUCUUUGCUCGGGGGCUCUUAUGGUCAUCUCUCUUACUUUGUUAUCAUGCCAUGCAUCUGAAGACUACAAAGGCGUUCUCGUACGGACUGAGAUGUGCGGCUAUAGUUUUACAGUUCCCUGCGAACCCGAAGAGUGCAGGGAUUGGUGCAAACAGACUGGUUAUGAACGUGGACAAAGCUCUUGCGAAGACCGUCCGGGUUUUGAUAGAGGAUUAGUUUGUUGUUGCCGAAGAGGUAACUGAAGCUUGUUGAUGCCAAUGGUGCUACAUGCCCAAAUGUGCUUUAGAGCUCUUGGAUUUAAGGACGAUUAGGCGUAUGUAUGCAUCCCAUGUUUGAAACAUUCAAUAAAAGUCGAAUUACUUUA